ACUCAACGUUAAUUCUUUAAAAAGGGUGAGUUUAAGUUGUAAAAGCAUGCUGCAUUUAUUGCAGACCCUUGAUCAGCUUGUUAGCCCUAAACUUGUUUUUAAGGAGUUU
rnacentral:sRNA from 1 species